rnacentral:rRNA from 1 species
GACGAACGCUGGCGGCGUGCCUAACACAUGCAAGUCGAGCGGGGUCCAUCCGGUAGCAAUACCGGGGAAGACCUAGCGGCGAACGGGUGAGUAACACGUGAGAAACCUGCCCCGAAGUCUGGGAUAACCCGAGGAAACUCGAGCUAAUACCGGAUGUCUUCUUCUGAUCGCAUGGUCGGAUGAAGAAAAGAUUUAUCGCUUCGGGAGGGUCUCGCGGCCUAUCAGCUAGUUGGCGGGGUAACGGCCCACCAAGGCGUCGACGGGUAGCUGGUCUGAGAGGACGAUCAGCCACACUGGGACUGAGACACGGCCCAGACUCCUACGGGAGGCAGCAGUGGGGAAUAUUGCGCAAUGGGCGAAAGCCUGACGCAGCAACGCCGCGUGCGGGAUGAAGGCCUCGGUUGUAACGACUUCUAGUGGGACGGAAGUUACAGACGGUACCG